UACGUAGGGCGCAAGCGUUAUCCGGAAUUAUUGGGCGUAAAGAGCUCGUAGGCGGUUUGUCGCGUCUGCUGUGAAACCCGAGGCUCAACCUCGGGCCUGCAGUGGGUACGGGCAGACUAGAGUGCGGUAGGGGGAGAUUGGAAUUCCUGGUGUAGCGGUGGAAUGCGCAGAUAUCAGGAGGAACACCGGUGGCGAAGGCGGGACUCUGGGCCGUAACUGACGCUGAGGAGCGAAAGCAUGGGGAGCGAACAGG
rnacentral:rRNA from 1 species